CUUCUUUCUCUGCCAUCAACAGAGGCAGUGUGACUCAUUGGUGCUAAAAAUGGAAGCCUGCAAAGCUGUCUUUUCAGCCAAGGGGAAAGCAGGUGCCCUCUUCCCUAGCAGCAGGGAAGGCUCUGGCAGUGCAGCCACAGGGGCAUGGAGCUCAGCUGCUCAGUGCUUUUGGAGGAGGGGGAAGGAAGAAUGUGAGAGGAAGGAGCCAGCUGCUCCUUGAAGGGUGAGCUGGAGAUGCUGUUGUGCAAAGGCUUGACUUCUGGGAAAAUUCAUAAGACAACAGAUUUGCUGUAGCCAUGCAAAGGUUGAAUUUUAGCCCCCAGUGCGCUGUGGAUCCCUGUAGUGUCUGGGAUGUGCCAGAGCCUGCAAGGCUUGUAUGCAAAGCAAACAAAGAGAAGGAAAGACUCAUUAGCCUCACUGCUGAGGCAAGGGUGCAGGGAAAUAAUUAAAUAUCUCUUUCAGCAUCACACAAGCUACCUGUGGGGGCUUGCUCUGCCCUUGGUAAGCUGGCUCUGUUGGGAGCUCAAGGACUGAGCCUGCCACACACGGAUGCUGCCUCCUGGCUGCACAGGCACCUGCACUCCCCAGCCCGUGGCAUGAGAUGUGGAGCUUCAGCUCUGAUCCCUCAUGGUUCAACUCUACCUCUGAAUCAGUGCUAUCUCCUCCAUCACCUUCCAUCGCUGGAAGCCACCACUGGCUUAGGAGGAAAAGCUAAUGCCGUGUGUCCAGGCAUGUGCAAGGAGUCUACAAUGGAAACACAACCAACCGCUCUGUUUCACAGGCAGGAUGAACCCAUGAUGACCUUUCUUGUCAGGAGCACAUGAUAGGUUGGGGCUGUAUGGGGAGAGGAUGCUGGUAGUGAAAUACUUUCACAGUUCAACACUCAUUAUCCCAUUACACAAUACCAUGCUCUUUCCCAAGGGCCUUCUAAAGAGUCAAGGCUGCGUUCUUUUCCUGCAGAGACCGAACCCAGACCACCUAACAAGCCACAUUUACUAAAAUUCUCACUCCCUCCCUGCCCAACAGAAGCACGAUUGUGUUCAUUUGCACUGAGUGGAAGCGGAAGAGCUGCAGCAGCUCAUCUGUGAUGCUGUCAGCCUGUUAGCCCACACCAAACACUGUCUCAUGUCUGCUGGGGACUAGCAAAGGCUGUUUCCCUAUAAGAACCACACUCUUCCCUGGAUUGCUUGAUUCUUUGAUAUUCCUUCCCAUCCUCAAACCAACUCCCGGUCUUCUCAGACCUGCAAUUCAAAGUGCGCACCCCUUGUGGCAAAAUAUCCUACCCACAGCUGAGUAUGCAGAGUGAAGGCAGCAGACACUCUGACAGUAAAGUCUGGAAGAGCUCAGCUCAGUGCCAGGAGGUGAGCUGAUGCCUUGGGCAUGCCCAGCAGCAGGACAUCUGUAUUGCCAGCAGAAACACUUGGACAGACACCAAAGGCUGUGCCUAAGCUUGGGGCCAUCAUCUGUCCCCCCAUCUCCCCACAGACAGUUAUUUCAGUCAAACUGUGGAUGGCAGUGAAUGGGAGAAGUGGAGGCUUUUGCUUUUGGCUUUUGCUUUUGGCUCUCACUUUGGCUUUUAAUAAGUGGUCACAGCAACAUUCAAAAUAUAUGCCAGGAACACUUCAUACAGAGAGGGAGAAAGAGACCCUGCCAUAAGGAGCAUGCCAUUUGGAAAAGCAGACAGUCAAAAGGUGAGAAAAGGGAAUAAACCACACAAGCAAAGUCUUUGUAACACCAGUAGGCAUAUGGAGUUGGUUGUAUGCUUUUGAAGCCGCUAUGUGCAAGAAGCUGCUAAGCACAUCAAUGCUUUCUGAUAGCUAAAUAAGCUUCAAGUGAGGGCUCACACACACACAUGUGCAGGCAUACAUGCACAAAAGGGUGGUAGGUAAAGCACUUCCAUCUUCACAGCAAGGCAGAUUUCCUCCUUUUCUGUCAUGUUUUCUUACAAGAUUCCUGCAUGCUUGUCAGAGAAAGGAGGCUGAGGAUGAAGCAAGUUGUUCCAUGCACUGAACAAAACCAUGUAUCUCAGUUUUAUGCCCUUGUUUCUGCUUCAUUUAGCUGAGCUCGUUCCCUCUGGGAGUUCUCUAAAGAAACACCAUUUGCAGAGGCUGAUGAGGGGCUUCCAAACUGGAGUCACUGCUGAGUCUUCCUGUCUGUCCCUCUGUCAGAGGGUGUUCGUGCAUCACCAUGCGUUUCUCAUCUCUUCUCAGCUCCCCAUUUUCACAAUUAGAAAUCUGAUGUUCAGACUUCCAACGCUUCAUCAAACUCGCUUUCAAGUCGCCAGCAGAUUCAAAGGUUGACGGGGACAGAUGGGUAGACGAGAAGUGACAGACUCUUCAUUUCCUUAGGAAACCUGGCUAAAAAUACAUGUUCUGAGCUCAGCUUUUUUCCACCAAGAUGCACAUUCUCCUGGGAGGCCCAGUGAGGUCAUUGGACUCAGGUGGUGGCAGCUCUGCAUCUCUGCCCUCUGCCGCUGCCCUCCUCACCAAAAGCCAACGGGCCGCCUCGUCCCCUCACAGCCUCUGCCAUGGGCCUUUGCUUUGGGCCUGAGUCCUGACCUGAAGCCUGCCGGGGAGGAUGACUGUGGCACCUUUUCACCAUUUUGCCAGUAACAACAAAUAAAUUUUCACCAACCACAGACACCGUGCACCCCUGCGGCCUGGAGGCUUGCAGUCCAGGCGAGGGCAGUGCAGGAGACCUGAGGUGGGCUCGAGGCAGGGAUGAUGUGCAGGGAGCUGCCCCAGGCAGCCCCAGUGUGUCCAGCCUGCUGGGCCUUGGGGUUCCCAACCUGCCUGGUGCUGGCUGGUGACUCUCCUGUCAGACCCAUGCUGGCAGGGGUUUAAACUGAGCAAGUUCAGGCUGUAAAAUUUAAGGGGAAGAAGACAGGAAAAAAAUUAAGAGCUGUGUAUUUUGCUUUUAGCACCUUUCUUCUCAUUUUCUCCUGAAGUGCCAGCACCUUAAAUAAAGAGCCUUUUGUUGCCUCGCUGCUCUCCACACGCAGUCACAAACAAGGGAAGUCCUCAGCUGGCAAGCUUUACCCUAAGGGGUAUCACCUCUGUGUGCAGCCCUUUAUUCUCCUUCCUCUCAUUUCCCCUUUGCUGUCACAUCCUCUCCUUCAAGCUCGGAAAAUGCUUGCCUUUUGCUCAAAGGGAUCAGAGGAGGUUGAGGGCAAACCCUGUUCCCAAGGCCUGCUGCCCAGCUUCCACCCCACCAAGAGGACGACUGGAGGAACCACAUCACUAAUUUGCUAUUUCUCGUGGGUCAUUUCUAAAGCUGCAAACCAUACCGAGAGAUCACAAGGUCCCUCUGUCCCUGCUUCCCUGUGAAUCUAUGAGGAGGAUGGGCUAAAAGGAGGCUUCCUGCAAACUGUGCUUUCUGGGGAGCCAGGCUGGCAGAUCAUUCUACUUAAGCAGCAAACACUAAACCAGGGGCACUUGUGCCACAUAUAUAUAUAUUUUGUCUGUGUGUGUCCUGGCUGAGCUCAGUCAUCGCAGCAGAACUAACACUGCAAAUGUGCAGCACAAGAUGUGACUCAUAGGGAAAUCUCUGGUGUCUUAUUGCUCCUUGCACACUGGAAGACUUGCCCUGCUGUCCAAGCCCUCAUGGCCUGGCUCCCCCAUCGUUUCUCCUAAAACUGGCUGCAAAUUUCAUCUGUGGUGCAUUUCUCCAUAGGAAAAUGUUCAUAAGCAAGUUUGCCCAGAGGAGGGUCACGGAACUUGAAUGGGGAAGGGAUGAGAUUUACAGGCACUUAUGCCAUCAGGGGUAGGAUAUUAUCUUCCAAAUUCCAAUUUUAUUCUUUCUUUGUGGAUUUGGGAGAAUUCCAUGUUUCUAAAGACUCUUCCUAUGUUGUCCCUUUGCCCACUUUACUGAAGAAUGUAACUGGUCAUAUAUAUAUUUCUAUUAUAUUUGCAGCAGUAAUACUGACUUAUGGAAGUACAUGCAAAUUUGCAUAUUAAAACAGAAAGGGAUUUCAAUUAUUUGGAUAAACACAAAGCUGAAAGUUGCUGGGCCAGCACAAAAAGGCAAUGACUAGUAACCUCUCCUGAGUUCAAACUAAAUGCAGCACCUCUCUGUCUUGGCUCUCUCCCACAUAUUAAUUUGCACAUACACGCACAUGACUUACUACUCCCCUGUUCACUUAAUGGGACCCACUUUACUUCAAGAGGUGGAUUACUGUUUUAGCCAUUUGGCUGAGAGUCCCAGAGAGUUCACACACUCAUCUGUGAUAUUCAGGAAAAAAAUUCCUGGCCAAAAUGAGCAUUAAGCAUAGGAGUGGAAUUGAUAAAAAUGAUCGAAAUGGAUAUGGAUGUUUUUUAUAUACCCAGAGAGGAAACCAUCACGAGUGGUUCUAUCACGUGUGCAGCAUACUCAUAAAAUGUUCCAAAUCUGUUUGCAUACAUUUUCAGAAGGAAAAAAAAAAAAAAAAAAGAAAGUACCUUAAAUUUGUCAGCAUUUAUUUUACCAGCUAGACAAAUGAUGGUCCUCUAUUGGAUCAGAUCGUGUGGAUCAAAGCUAGAGAAAGGAAUUGUUUUGAUACUUGUUCAGGUGGCUCUGUGCAGGUGUAACAGAGCUAAGUCUAACUGGGCACAGAUGACAGGCAACAACAGCUUGAAAAUCUGCCUGUCUGCUCUCCAUUUACUUCCAGGAGCUGAGGAUCAGGCCUCUCAUCUUUUAAACAUGCAUGGCUCAGAACUCCUCAGUGGUUUUGCUUUUCUCAGUGCAGUGCCAGGAGCUGCUGCCUGUCAAGAAGAAAACGACGGCUUCCCAAUCCUAAGCAAGACCAUCCAGGAUGUCACCCAGAAGCAGGGGAUGAGCCCAGGAGAUGCUGGAUCACUGUCAGAGAGCUCAACUUGGUUGCGUUUCCAGCAUCCCCCAGGGCCUGCGCAGGGACUGGUGUGUGCCAUGAGAUUCCAGCAACGUCAUCCCUGCUGAGAGGUCUCCCCGCUCCCACAGGAAGGAUGUGACCAUUUCUGGUGCUCGCCGCACCUUUAUGUGGUGAUGGAGUCAUGUCAAAUAGCCAGGCUCUAGAAGAGAACCUUGUGAUUGAAACAAGGUUUUCUUGAACUAUUUAAAUCUUUCUCAGGAAAUAAUGCAUGAGAACAAUCUGUUUCAGAAUUAUCCAUCACUCAGUGUGAGAUUCCCGUGCAAUUUCACUGCUACAUUGCCUAUAUAUUUUUUUUUGUCUGUUUGUUUAAUGAGUGUUGCAGUUGUAGUAAUGAGAUUACUGGUAAUACCAAACAGAUUUUCGGAAUGAUGAGAAGAUAAUUAGACGAUAUCUUGAGGGUGAUUUCUGUUUAAGACACAGUAACUAUGUCACGGAGUAAAUAAAUGUGGAGAAGGAAGAUAACAGUGCUUAUUAGCCUAAGAUACAAUGAUUUCCAAAUUACCAGGAAAUACAUUUCAUUGUGGUGAACGACAUGGUGACUGAUGCUUGGCCCAAGCUGGCCCAUCUGUUGUGAGGCAGGACUCAGCUAGGCUCAGAGGAACUCGAUGAUCUCCAGAGGUCCCACCCAACCUCUACAGUUCUGUGAUUCUGGCGACCUGAUGUUUGCUGCAGCCACAAUGCCAGCUUCAGCAUAGACUGUGAGGUUUUGACAAGCCCAAGUGAUUGAGCUGCACACCCAGAAGGGCAGCUUCUGGGCUCUGCCGGCUUCCAAGGGCUCUGCUUGUCCAGCUCCCGUCACCUGUGAGUGACCAGCAACAAAAGCCUGACAGCACAGCAGUGACAGGGAUGCUCACUACAAGAUCAGAGAUCGAAGACCCCACUUUCCUUUCUAAAUCAACCCUUAGUGACACUUCAGGAUUACAGUAAGGAACCUGCUGCUGCUGCAUGGAUCCGUGCCUCCAAAUGGGGACAAGCGGCCACAUAGCCUUGAACCCACAGACUUCAGUGGAUGCCCGCCCCUCCUGGGGACACAUCAGACACAUCCUCCACUUCCUCUCUGCUCUCCUGGAUUUGGAGAAGACCACGUAGCUCACCGUGUGCCAGAGGCAGCCAUCUCAAGUGAAUAUGCAGCUGCUGGUGUCCCACUGCUCUCAUAAAGUGCUGGCAGCCCCCAUACAUCCACAUAAACAGAUGCACAGCACUGGAACGCGUCCUCUGCCAGCCAAAUGGAGCACCGAAAUCAGCCACGUAUGCACGGAAAGCAAGAAAUCAAAGCAAGCAAAGACAUCAUAUAAAUGGAAUCAACAACUCCUGUGCAUUUGGAAAGGCUAGUAGCUGUGGUUCAAGAUGCUUGCAUUUAAUAUAAAAUACAAGACUGUUCUAAUCCAGCCUUGUCAAGUCCCAGAGUCUUACACUGCCUUCAACUUCAUCAAACCAUAGAUUCUGAAAACAGCAUUUUAAGUGGAAAGGAUCUCUGAACAACAAGAAGAGCCAAGUCAGCCUUUCAAAUGACACCAGACCACCAUGUGAUGUGAAUUAAAAAACCCACCACCCUGUAUGUAAUGACAGAAACCAUGGAAUUCAAAAGCAGCGUCUGUGUCCUGUGUCAUAAUUAGCACUUGGAUUAACAACAUGGGAAUAACAUCAGCUAUUUUUAAAACAUAUCGCUUAGCUACUUUCUGAAACACAAAAUGCAGUGUAAAACUGUGCAGAACACAAACUAGCCACAGAGCUUGUUGAAAUGCACUUGCUAAAAAUGCUACAGAGUUUAGACAGAAUCCCUUUGGAUGAGCUCAGAUGUCUUCCAAAACCUAAGGAAACAGUACAUGUGAUAGGAUAGGCAGAUCUGUAGCUCCAGCAAAUUUUCUGAUGGGCAGAGUGAAAAGAUGGCCUUUGAGAUAUUUGGGAACUAAGAGGUAAUAAAAAAGCAAGAUAUCAGAUUUUCUUCUAGUUGAAGUAAUUCAAAGAAAAACCAAACCAAACCAACUAAACAAACAAAAACCUCAAAAUACAGUUAUGCACUACCAGCACCUGAUAACAUUAACUCUAUCUCAUAGACCAAUGAAAUGGCCAGCAAUAAUUUAUAAGCAAAGUUCAGUGUCAGUAUAAGAUGCAGGAUAUAUCUCAGGGCAGGGGCUGAACUACACCAAUCUGUAGUAACUCGGCAGGAUCACACUUUUCCUAAGUGGCCAUAUUUUGUGCUCCAAAAUCCAAGUCCAAUUAAUUGGCUGGCUUCUGUGGUGGCAAAGUUAUCUGGUCAGUGAAGAUGAAUAGGAGUGGUUCUUCAUUACAGUGAUGGAUUUUCUCAUCCAGCCUUCGACUGUGACCGAUGCUGCAGUCCCCCAGCUCCACCUAAGGACAAGUAUGAAACAAUAUGUUGUCAUAGGGCACUGGUACUAACUUUGGAAGAAGUGGAAUUUUGAGUAUACACAGCAGUGUUCCGGGUAUAUGGUUUAAGAUGUCAGCCAGAUGUGUGCAGUGGGCCACGGUGAUGCACACAGCUGAGUCAAAACAAAAUGAAAAUAGAAGCAUUUAGUAGGAAACCAACUGGGAAUCUCUUCUUCCUUCAAAAUGUGGCCGUUACUCUGUGAUUACAAAUGCCCAAGGCCCAUUCCAUCUGGUCCAUAGAUUAGGAUGUCAUUGCCUCAGUAAAAAAUGAAUCACUGCUGCAGGUGUAUUGGUACUUUUCUGGAGUUUUUCUGCAUCUAAUAUCAUCUGGCUAUAGGAUGCCACCAGGAUGGUAUACAGCAGCAUCAGGAUUUUCAGGCAGCUGAUAUGUUAAUGUAACCAUAGGCAUGUAGUACAUAACAAUAGGGAAGCAGUAUGAAAGCCUUGGUUUCCUACAUAACAAAUGGAGAGAAUACAUAUUUAUUUAUUUACUUUUAUUAAACAAUGAGCAUUAAUCUCUGCUGGAAGC